rnacentral:rRNA from 1 species
AGGACGAACGCUGGCGGCGUGCUUAAUACAUGCAAGUCGAACGGAGCUUAGCUGAUAGUUACUAGAGGCGAAAGCUUAGUGGCGGACGGGUGAGUAACGCGUGGGUAAUCUGCCCCUAAGUCCGGGAUAACAGAGCGAAAGUUCUGCUAAGACCGGAUACUCUUUACCAGUUGCAUAACGGGUAAAGGAAAGGUAACGCUUAGGGAUGAGCCCGCGUCCCAUUAGCUAGUUGGUGAGGUAACGGCCCACCAAGGCGACGAUGGGUAGCCGGCCUGAGAGGGUGGACGGCCACACUGGGACUGAGACACGGCCCAGACUCCUACGGGAGGCAGCAGUAGGGAAUUUUCCGCAAUGGGCGCAAGCCCUGACGGAGCAACGCCGCGUGAGGGACGAAGGUCUUCGGAUCGUAAACCUUUGUCAUCGAGGACGAUAAUGACGGUACUCGAGGAGGAAGCCCCGGCUAACUACGUGCCAGCAGCAGC